rnacentral:rRNA from 1 species
GAGUUUGAUCAUGGCUCAGAUUGAACGCUGGCGGUAUGCUUAACACAUGCAAGUCGAACGGUAACAGGCUAGCUUGCUAGCGCUGACGAGUGGCGGACGGGUGCGUAACGCGUAGGAAUCUGCCUAUUAGUGGGGACAACCUGGUGAAAACCAGGCUAAUACCGCAUACGCCCUACGGGGGAAAGCAGGGGAUCUUCGGACCUUGCGCUAAUAGAUGAGCCUGCGUUAGAUUAGCUUGUUGGUGAGGUAAUGGCUCACCAAGGCGACGAUCUAUAGCUGGUCUGAGAGGACGAUCAGCCACACUGGGACUGAGACACGGCCCAGACUCCUACGGGAGACAGCAGUGGGGAAUAUUGGACAAUGGGCGGAAGCCUGAUCCAGCAAUACCGCGUGUGUGAAGAAGGCCUGAGGGUUGUAAAGCACUUUCAAUUGGGAGGAAACAGGCAGGUUAAUAUCCUGUCUCUUGACAUUACCUUUAGAAGAAGCACCGGCUAACUCCGUGCCACG